GCCUGCGUGGCAUGUCACCAAGCCAUGUGGGUGAAGGAGGUGGUGCAUCCUCUUAGAUCGGUCCCCACACAGAACGCCCCAUCCCGAGAACUCUCUGACACCACGACCUUGCUGGGCUGGUGGUGAGAAGAGCCCUCCCCGUCACAUCCUUCUACACAGCAGAUGUCUCAAUGCUCACCACAUGCUGCCCUCAAGAUCAAUGUGUGCAGGAGAGGCCAAGAAAGAAGAGCAGCAGUUGGCAAUGUGACCCCUAUAGUGAGGCCCUGGUCUGGUCUAGUCUGGGACUCAUAGGGUAGUGGAGGGAAUUAAUUGUGACUAAAUCAAACCUCAUUCAAAAUGUUAAAAAUUCUCAGGUGUGAUGAAUAUUCAUCCUGGUGCGAUUGAAGAGGAAAUGAUCAGAAUAUUGAUGUAACAACGUGUAUCCUUUUUCCCAGAGCACAGCACAUCGAACCUCAAUAAUCAUUAGCACUCCACUGCAUGUUUUAGUGAUCAAAAAAUAUAAAUCUAUAAUAAUGCUGCUUAGCACUAUGUUUCAGUGAUUGCAAAAUACAAAUCAAUGUAAAAUGCUGCUGAUCACUAUUACGAUUCUCAAUGAAAUAAAAAUUCCCGGUAAGUAAAAAACAUACUAUCCGGAUACAUCACAGUUCAGUCUGGGAAGAAUCAAAUUGCAGAGACUUGUGGAUGUAGCCCAGUUCAUCACACAGACCAGGCUCCCCACAUCAACUCCAUGUACACUUUUCACUGCCUUGGGAAAGAAGCCAACAUAAUCAAGACUCUUUACCACCCCAGGUAUUCCCUCUCUCAUCAGGCAGAGGAUACAAAAACAUGAAAGAAUGUUCCACCAGAUUCAGGAACUGUUUUUUUCCUGGUGUUUUCAAAGUACUGAAAGCUGCUGCCAUAAGCUAAGAUGUAGUCCCAAUCUUCCAACCUACCUCAUUGCGGGCCUUGCACUUUUUCUCCAUGACUGUAAUGCUGCAAUGCUGUAACAAUAUAUUCUGCAUUUUCCUCUGUUGUACUUGUGUAUGGUGUGAUUGUACUCGUGUAUGGUAUGUUUUUACUGGAGAGGAAGAAAAAAAAGCUUUUCUCUGAAUCCCAGUACACAAGGCAAUAAUAAAGGCAAAGCCAAUGGAAGGUAAUUGCAGGGGAUCAGUUCUGUGUUAUUCACCAGUCAUCAGUGAGCCACUGCUGUGUCAUGGCCAUUCUAAGAAAUAAUUUUGAGUUCUAGAGAAAUUGAUGGCCAUAAUUAGCAGCAAUAAUAUUUCAAAUUGCCUCACAGCUCUCAGAGAUGAGUUAAGUUAAGUAUAAUUUAAAAGCAGGGAUUUCUCACCACUCAUUUGUAGAGCAGAAUGGUGGACCUCACCCUCACCUUGAGUCUGAUGUACAUCAGCCUCUCGCCUGAACCCAUUCCAGUUGUGUUUAUAGAACAGAGAGCAUGACUUCAUUGUUCUUUGGCAUCUAAGUCUGGUCCGUUUUGGUGGCAGAGUAGAGAUUCUAUACUCGCUAACUGGCUUAAGCUAUUAAAGAGCAAAGCACUAAGUGUUGGAGGAACUCAGCAGGCCAAGCAGCAUCUGUGGAGGUAAUGGACAAAAGACUUUUCAGCACCGGGCCUCUACUCACUGGAGGCUAGAAGGGGCCUCAUUGAAACUUACAGAAUAAUGAAAGGCAUAGAUAGAGUGGAUAUGGAAAGGAUGUUUCCACUGGUGGGAGAGUCUAGGACCAGAGGUAAUAACCUCAGAAUUAAAGGGCACUCGUUUAGAAAGGAAGUAAAGAGGAACUUCUUUAGUCAGAGGGUAGUUAAUCUGUGGAACUCAUUGCCACAGAGGGCUGCGGAGGCCAAGUCAGUAGAUAUUUUUAAUGCAGAAAUAGACAAAUUCUUGAUUAGAACGAGUGUCAAGGGUUAGGGGAGAAAGCAGGAAAAUUGGAAUUGGAGGCAGAGAUCAGCCAUGAUUGAAUGGCGGAGUAGACUCGAUGGGCCGAAUGCCCUAAUUCUAUAACUUGUGAAAUUCUAUUAUGCUGUUACUACUUCCUCGGGGAUCUCUGACCACCAGAUUUUGUGUCUGGCAUUUUGUAUGAAUCUUAUUUAUAUUUAAACUGACCAUCUCUAACUUUAUCUGCCAAAUUUGUAGGGUAUGCAGAAUACAAAUAUCCUAACUCUACUUAUGUGUUGAAUAACAAAUGUAUUGAAGAGGAUGUGGUGAAGCUUGUAGAGAGAAGGCUACGCUCUCUGCCAGAAAUUACUGCGCGGUUUGUUUCCUGCAACCAUGUGUGCUGAAAGCCUGCCAUAUAGCAACUGCAAAAUGUGGAAAAAGUAUUCAGCAAAAUCAACUCACAUUUGAUCCAAGUGUACUAUUUUUGAUACAGUCAUUAUAAUUAGAAACUCUGAAUAGAGGCACUUUAGUAUUUUUAUGAUUUGUUUUCAGAUAUGUGUAUCCAUCUUUUUAUCCAGAAUCGGCAUGCAGAUUAUUUGACAACCUUUCCACGAGUACAAGGAGAAACAGACACUGCUCUUCAGGGGAUGACAAAUGACCAGACUGGUUUAAGGCCAAGAAAAUGAAGUCAACCUUUAUCCAUAGUAAGCCACGCUGUGACAUUUGAUAUCUGCAGCUGACUGCUGUCUACCUUUCUUCGUUACAUCUCAAAGGGAAUGUGAGUACGUAAUCAGGAGGCCCAACUCUCAUCAAUCUUCCGAUGCUCAGAAUGGCAGGCUCUAUUUCUCACUGACUGGGCCAUAAGGUUAACGCCCUUGGAGACCACUGGAAUAUAAAAACAACAGAUUAGAAAAAGGUCAUUUUACAUCGGGGGGCAUCCAGUUCUUGGCCAGGCUGAUGGGAAAGUGUCAUUCCUUGUAUAAAGGCGGAGCGUGAAUUGCGCUUGGGAAAUUAACAAUGGUUGUUUAGAAUCAAGGGUGGCUUUCACCAGCAGCAGCUCGUACACAGAAAAACACUCGAUGGAUCAUAAACAUCAUGGAAUUCCAAAUACUCAGUCAGACAUUGCACGUAAUGACAUUUCAAUGGCACCCGACAUUUUAACUAUAACAGAAUUAAAACACGAUGCCUCUUAUCAAUGUUGCUACAUUCACUUUGAUGGCAAGACCUGGUUAACACAACCCUUGAGAGUCAGGUAGCUUUAAUGAACAAUAUUCCACUCUAGGCUGGCAUAACAUAAUUUGGUUCAGAGGCCAACCAGUUGGCAGGGAGUUCCAGAGGAUUGAGAACCUGGCUGGGGCAUCCAUGGCGCAUGUCAUUCUCAUCAAAUUCCUUAUCGUUCUCAAGCUCCGUCUGGCCUGGUAAGAGUAACUCGGAUUGAACCCAAGUACUGCAGUAACCCAGCGGGUUUAUGGCAGCAUCUUUGGAUGGCAACAUCUUUGGACUUCAGGGGCUGGACAGGCUAGAUGCAGGAAGAUUGUUCCCGAUGUUGGGGAAGUCCAGAACACGGGGUCACAGUUUAAGGAUAAGGGGGAAAUCUUUUAGGACCGAGAUGAGAAAAACAUUUUUCACACAGAGAGUGGUGAAUCUGUGGAAUUCUCUGCCACAGAAGGUAGUUGUGGCCAGCUCAUUGGCUAUAUUUAAGAGGGUGUUAGAUGUGGCCCUUGUGGCUAAAGGGAUCAGGGGUUAUGGAGAGAAAGCAGGUACAGGAUACUGAGUUGGAUGAUCAGCCAUGAUCAUAUUGAAUGGCGGUGCAGGCUCGAAGGGCUGAAUGGCUUACCCCUGCACCUAUUUUCUAUGUUUCUAUGUUUCCAUGUUUGGAGGACAUGGAUAGGUGACCUUUCAGGUUGGGAACCUUCUUCAGAAUCAGAAUUGUGAAGUCUCACCUAUCCAUGUCCUCCAGGGAUGCUGAAUGACUCGCUGAGUUUCUCCAGCAUUUUGUGUUCUACUCGAGCUUCCAGAAUCUGCAGUUCUUUGUGUCUCCAAGAGUAACCUCGAUUUAGUUUCUCAGCACCUUGAUGCUUUGGAUGCCAUAUUCACCAAGUAAAUCUUCAUGCUCUAUGUGGAAGGGCCUGAAGAAUGCAUUAACGUCCAAAGCCCAGCAAACAUUGAGUGAUGUUAAUUGAUGAGGUUCCUGCCUGGUGUGG